UACGUAGGCAGCAAGCGUUGUUCGGAGUUACUGGGCGUAAAGGGUGCGUAGGCGGUUGUUUAAGUUUGGUGUGAAAUCUCCCGGCUCAACUGGGAGGGUGCGCCGAAUACUGAAUGACUAGAGUGCGGGAGAGGAGAGUGGAAUUCCUGGUGUAGCGGUGAAAUGCGUAGAUAUCAGGAGGAACACCGGUGGUGUAGACGGCUCUCUGGACCGUAACUGACGCUGAGGCGCGAAAGCUAGGGGAGCAAACAGG
rnacentral:rRNA from 1 species